UGGGUAACCUGCCUCAAAGAGGGGUAAUAGCCUUCCGAAAGGAAAGAUUAAUACCGCAUAAUAUGUUUUGGUCGCAUGAUCGAAAACAUCCAAAAGGAGUUAAUCCGCUUUGAGAUGGACCCGCGGCGCAUUAGCUAGUUGGUGAGGUAACGGCUCACCAAGGCGACGAUGCGUAGCCGACCUGAGAGGGUNAUCGGCCACAUUGGAACUGAGACACGGUCCAGACUCCGUACGGGAGCAG
rnacentral:rRNA from 1 species